rnacentral:rRNA from 1 species
AAAAGCUUUCUUUAAUUGAAUAAUUGAAUUUAAUUUUUUUAGUGCAAAAGCAAAAAUAAAAAUUAGGGACAAGAAGACCCUAUGAAUUUUUUAUUAAAUUUUAUAAAACUUUAUAUAAAAUUUAAUUUAAUUGGGGUGAUGGAAAAAGAAUAAAUAUCUUUUUUUUAAAAAAAAUUGGUUCCGUUUUUAGCGAUUAAAUGAAAAAAAUACUCUAGGGAUAACAGCGUAAUAAUUUUGGAUAGUUCAUAUAGAUAAAAUAGUUUGCGACCUCGAUGUUGGAUUAGGAUUCUUUUUUGGUGAAGAAGUUAAAAAAAGAAGUUUGUUCAACUUAUAAUUUCCUACUUGAUCUGAGUUCAGACCGG